UCGAAUGAUGCGAUGCUUUGUUCACAAAACUAGAGUUGUUCACGGUACUCGAGAUCAAACCAUUAAAUCAAUGAUCCAGUCACAACGAUUACCAGCUCACUGGAGGGAAAACUGAAUAACAAACGCCACGAAAGAAAAAAAAAAGUCACAAGUGUUUGUAACGACAUGAAGGGGAGGAAAAGAAGUGUAAUUUGGAACGACAUGUGGUGUUUCGCGAUAUGAACAGGAUACCAGCUCCUUUGGGGCCGUUGUUCAGCACUAAAAAUAAUAGAUGCUUAUCUGGCCUGCGACUCAUGCCAACCCGGCCACAACCAGGAAGAACAAUCAAGACAAAUGCCUGGCAUGCCAUUCAGCUGCGAAAAUCUGGGCAGAGUAGUCGCCAAGGUCUUUGUCAUCAAGUACUUCCUUCCCUUCUCUGUCUCUUUUCCUCCUCUCUGUCUUUCUGCCUGACAUUAUCUUAUUUU